AUGGUUCAUCGCAGCUAGCUGUAUCGCUAUCCGCGAUAAUUACGCGCAAAUUACGCUUACGAAAAGCCGGCCCUGCGAUCCCAUUGCUCUCCGUCCUCCCCGCCAAACAGAAGGGACAUGCUUUUAAGAGAAUGAAGUCUGGCGCGCAACCACGGGACAGCAGACUGCUUGUAGCAGUGAAAUCUCGGAAAUACAUAGGAUGAAGAGAUAGACUCUGAUAUGGCGAACAUCUGGCGACGACCAGCCGCUUCAGACCGGGCCGAGAAAAAGGUUCGUGGAACAGAAGGGAGAGAAACGAGGUAAAAAAGGCGACGAAGGAAGGACGCGAGCCAUAAAUAAGCAUCGGGGAAAAAGCGUAAUCCCUUAUCGUUUGUGUAUUCUACAGCGACGCCUAACAAUAAAGGAAAAGUUUCUUCGUUCUUCGUUCUCUCUGCCGUCUCGGUCCUGGUCAUCCUUUUCGUGCACCGUUUCUCCCCGCCCUUCUUCAGCACCGCUCGCAAAUCGUAUGUCGCCCCCGGAUGGAGGAGGAAAAAGCGAGCGCAGUCUGUCUCGCGUUUGUCGACAGGGGUGCAGUCCCGGGCUUCGGGAGCUAAAGCAAAGAGGGUGGUGGCAGAAGAAACGUAGAUUUCAACUGCACGGAACGGAGGGAGGCAUCGCGAAGCGUGGAUAUGACGAAGGGAAAUAAGAAAAAGAAAGAUACGCGAAGAAACAGCGGAAGAACGAGGGAAAAAGACAGGUGGGAUUGUGAAAUAGAGGGAUGAGAGCGCGGGGGAGAAAGAGGCAGAAAGAACGAAAGAAAGAAGGGGGUUAAGAAAUCUUUUAAGAGAUGCGACGCUUUAAGGACGUAUUAAAAAUGGCAGGCGGCGGAGAGGCCCGAGGUGCAGCCUGCAGUUUACUGUGGUAUAAAUUAGACUCGCUGUUCCAGCAUAAUCUGAUAUAUUAACGAGUCAAACCUCGGUUCUCUGCGCUCUCUCUGCCGCGACGAGAAGGAACACAUCGUCGAAAGACGAGGACACGGCUAAACGUUGCGUAGCCAGGUGAAAAAGGGAUGAAACAACUGACGAAGAACGAAAGGAACAAAGAUGGGAGGAGAAAAGAACAAGCCGGGAUAUCAACGAUGACAACGAGGAUCCACCGAUGAAGCAGGAGAGGACAGGAGGGUCGCAUUCCAUCGGAUCGAGAUUUAUUUGCCGAAUAAAUGUUGAGAAG
rnacentral:misc_RNA from 1 species